CCCUUAGAUGUUCUGGGCCGCACGCGCGCUACACUGUUCGACGCAGCGAGUCUUAACCUUGACCGAAAGGUUUGGGUAAUCUUCAGCAAAGUCGAACGUGAUGGGGAUCGAUCAUUGCAAUUAUUGAUCGUGAACGAGGAAUUCCUAGUAAGUGCAAGUCAUCAGCUUGCGCUGAUUACGUCCCUGCCCUUUGUACACACCGCCCGUCGCUACUACCGAUUGAAUGGUUUAGUGAGAUCUCUGGAUUGACGCUGGCUAGGGGGCGACCCUUGGCCAGACUGUUGAGAAACUGAUCAAACUUGAUCAUUUAGAGGAAGUAAAAGUCGUAACA
rnacentral:rRNA from 1 species